UACGAAGGGGGCAAGCGUUGUUCGGAAUUACUGGGCGUAAAGGGCGCGUAGGCGGCCGAUCAAGUCAGGCGUGAAAUUCCCGGGCUCAACCUGGGGGCUGCGCUUGAUACUGAUUGGCUUGAAUGCGGGAGAGGAUAGUGGAAUUCCCAGUGUAGAGGUGAAAUUCGUAGAUAUUGGGAAGAACACCGGUGGCGAAGGCGGCUAUCUGGCCCGUAAUUGACGCUGAGGCGCGAAAGCGUGGGUAGCAAACAGG
rnacentral:rRNA from 1 species